AUCCAGCUGACGAGUUCCAAACCGGACGAAACGUGCGUCCUUGAU
rnacentral:hammerhead_ribozyme from 1 species